AACGAACGCUGGCGGCAGGCCUAACACAUGCAAGUCGAGCGAGGACUUCGGUCCUAGCGGCGGACGGGUGAGUAACGCGUGGGAACGUGCCCUUUGCUUCGGAAUAGCCCUGGGAAACUGGGAGUAAUACCGGAUGAGCCCUUUGGGGGAAAGAUUUAUCGGCGAAGGAUCGGCCCGCGUUGGAUUAGGUAGUUGGUGGGGUAAUGGCCUACCAAGCCGACGAUCCAUAGCUGGUUUGAGAGGAUGAUCAGCCACACUGGGACUGAGACACGGCCCAGACUCCUACGGGAGGAAGCAGUGGGGAAUCUUAGACAAUGGGGGAAACCCUAAUCUAGCCAGGCCGCGUGAGCGAUAAGGCCUUAGGGUUGUAAAGCUCUUUCAGCUGGGAAGAUAAUGACGGUACCAGGAGAAGAAGCCCCGGCUAACUCCGUG
rnacentral:rRNA from 1 species